rnacentral:lncRNA from 1 species
CAGCUCAUAAGGGGCUGAAUGGGCGCUCUAUCCUGGAUCUGUUGGCUCUUGGGAUUGUGCCUUAAGAAUUGUGUCCCCACAGCACUUGUUAGGGGGCCCAGGAGCCCAGUUCAGGGCCAGGGCAUCGGGGAUCCCGUUUAGUAGGUCUGGGGUGGGCCUGAGCAGUCGAUUUCCACCAAGCUCCUCACCCCACCCUGCCCCAGGGGGUCCUGAUGUGCCCGCUGGUUAGGAACCACUGGGUGGCACGGACACGUGGAAAUCCGGGCCCAGCCCCCUCUCGGCCGCUGUCACUGACGGCCGCUGUUUGCUGACUCUAAGUCCCCAAGAAGGAAGUCGAGUCACCUGGAGGCGAACGUGGGCUCAGGAAGGCAUCAGGGAUUCUGUGACUUGGGCAUGCAGGGCCGCAGUCCCGUCACACCCUGUCCCCACGGCAUCAGACACAGGGUGUGGUUGGCAGGGAGGACGAGGGGUGGGUGUGGCUCAUGCGGGCACCCCGCCAUCCUGGCUACCCUGCCAGCCGAGUGGCCCUGGGCGGGCUGGGGAGCAAGACUUGACCUGGGCUCCCCCAGAAAACAGAGUGACGUGGCUGGCUCCCCGCCCUGGCAGUGCCCGUUGACCUGGGAAGCCCUGGCGGGGCUGCGGGGGGUGGUGGCCGAUGUCGAGGUUCCUGAAGCUUCCAGCUCAUAUUUCCUGAAGGAGCAGGCUCAGCGGACGAAGCAGAAAAGAGAACGAGAACCCAGCACGAAGGCGUCUCCAUGUACUGGAAACAUGCCCGCGGGAAAGUGAAGUGAGGUCAGUGUCGGGACGGUGGGCGGGUGGAACGUGGACUCUGGUGGGGAACAGUACCGUGUCAGGCAGACUCUCCUUAAGGCGAUCGCUGUUGCAGGUUAUGUAAGGGAACGUCCCUGCUCUCGGGAGGCCCCGCAACAUUAGGGGCGGAGGGGUCCCCAUGCAGCAGACUUCCAUAAGAGGUAGGAAAAAAAAAAAGUUGCAAAAUAUUAACAACUGGUGAGUCCACGUGAGAGGGAUAGUGGGAUUUAUUGUUUUUCUUGCCACUUUUCUGACGGCUUAUUUUUU